rnacentral:misc_RNA from 1 species
UCCGGUUUGACGCCGGCAGUCUCGCUAGAGUGCCCGGCUUGACCCGUUGGCAACUAACGACAGGGGUUUCGCUCGUUAGGGGACUUAACCCAACACCUCAAGGCACGAGCUGACGACAGCCAUGCAACACCUGUGCUGGUUACACCCGAAGGCAAUCCCCCCGCUUUCACGGGGUUAAUCCCAGCAUGUCAAACCCUGGUAAGGUUCUUCGCGUUGCUUCGAAUUGAGCAACAUCCUCCACCGCUUGUGUGAGCCCCCGUCAAUUCCUUUGAGUUUUAGCCUUGCGGCCGUACUCCCCAGGCGGGAUGCUUAAAGCGUUAGCUGCGGCACGGAGGGGGUCGACACCCCCCACACCUAGUGGCCAUCGUUUACAGCGUGGACUAC